rnacentral:rRNA from 1 species
CCUACGUGAGGCAGCAGUGAGGAAUAUUGGUCAAUGGACGGAAGUCUGAACCAGCCAUGCCGCGUGCAGGAAGACGGCUCUAUGAGUUGUAAACUGCUUUUGUACAAGGGUAAACCUGAAUACGUGUAUUCAGCUGAAAGUACUGUACGAAUAAGGAUCGGCUAACUCCGUGCCAGCCGCCGCGUUAAUACGGAGGACCCAAGCGUUAUCCGGAUUUAUUGGGUUUAACGGGUGCGUAGGCGGAUUGAUAAGUUAGAGGUGAAAUGUCCGAGCUUAACUCGGGAACUGCCUCUAAUACUGUUGAUCUAGAGAGUAGAUGAGGUAGGCGGAAUGUAUGGUGUAGCGGUGAAAUGCUUAGAGAUCAUACAGAACACCGAUUGCGAAGGCAGCUUACCAAUCUAUAUCUGACGUUGAGGCACGAAAGCGUGGGGAGCAAACAGGAUUAGAUACCCGGGUAGUC